UACGGAGGGGGCUAGCGUUGUUCGGAAUUACUGGGCGUAAAGCGCACGUAGGCGGCUUUGCAAGUUAGAGGUGAAAGCCCGGGGCUCAACCCCGGAAUUGCCUUUAAAACUGCAUCGCUAGAAUUGUGGAGAGGUAAGUGGAAUUCCGAGUGUAGAGGUGAAAUUCGUAGAUAUUGGGAAGAACACCGAUGGCGAAGGCAGCCAUCUGGACCGACACUGACGCUGAGGCGCGAAAGCGUGGGGAGCAAACAGG
rnacentral:rRNA from 1 species